rnacentral:rRNA from 1 species
GGGCUCACACAAGCGGUGGAUGAUGUGGCUCAAUUCGAAGCAACGCGAAGAACCUUACCCGGGUUUGACAUGCUAGGAUUAGUUCUGUGAAAGCAGAAUGACACGGCUUGCCGUGGAACUAGCACAGGUGCUGCAUGGCUGUCGUCAGCUCGUGCUGUGAAGUGUCGGGUUAAGUCCCUUAACGAGCGAAACCCUUGUCGCUAGUUGCCAGCGCGUAAUGGCGGGCACUUUAGCGAGACUGCCGGUGUUAAACCGGAGGAAGGCGGGGACGACGUCAAGUCCUCAUGGCCUUUAUGCCCGGGGUUGCACACGUCAUACAAUGGGAUGGUACAAAGCGAUGCAAGACCGCGAGGUGGAGCAAAUCGCAGAAAACAUCCCUCAGUUCGGAUUGCAGGCUGCAACUCGCCUGCAUGAAGCUGGAAUCGCUAGUAAUCGCGUAUCAGCAAUGACGCGGUGAAUGUGUUCCUGAGCCUU